rnacentral:rRNA from 1 species
UAUGUGAUCGUCUCUCGCAUAUCAAUAAGCGGAGGAAAAGAAACUAACAAGGAUUCCCCUAGUAACGGCGAGUGAAGCGGGAAGAGCUCAAAUUUGAAAUCUUAAAGGGUUUCCCUUUACGAAUUGUAGUUUAAAGAAGUGUUUUCUGUUGAGGUUUUGGUAAAAGUUCUUUGGAAUAGGACAUCAUAGAGGGUGAGAAUCCCGUAUUUGACCUUUACUUUCAACUUUGUGAUACACUUUCAAAGAGUCGGAUUGUUUGGGAAUGCAGUCCAAAAUGGGUGGUAAAUUUCAUCUAAAGCUAAAUAUUGGCGAGAGACCGAUAGCGAACAAGUACCGUGAGGGAAAGAUGAAAAGAACUUUGAAAAGAGAGUUAAACAGUACGUGAAAUUGUCAAAAGGGAAGCGUUUGACACCAGUGUUGUUUUUCUGAAAAUCAAUUAAAGAACUGUUUAUGCUAAGUUGUUUAGACUUUAUCAGCUAUCUGUUUAGUUUUGAGCUUUUCUUUAAUGCACUUUUCAGUUAACAAGUCAACGUCAAUUUCUUUUGCUGUAAAAAAGCUUGAGGAAGGUGGCUUGAGAUUCGUCUUAAGUGUUUAUAGCCUCUUGCCUAUGCAGUCGGAGAGAUUGAGGUCUGCAGCGUAGAUCCUUCGGGGCUAAAUGCAUUUGUGCUAAGUUAUAGCAUUUUAUAGACAACUUGUUGACUAUGAUUUGUCUUGUAGCUUACUCGCUUAUGUUAUUUUACCUACGCUUAGGAUGUUGAUCUACAGAGCGAGAGU